rnacentral:rRNA from 1 species
AUUGAACGCUGGCGGCAUGCCUUACACAUGCAAGUCGAACGGUAACAGGUCUUCGGAUGCUGACGAGUGGCGAACGGGUGAGUAAUACAUCGGAACGUGCCCAGACGUGGGGGAUAACGAGGCGAAAGCUUUGCUAAUACCGCAUACGAUCUAAGGAUGAAAGCAGGGGACCGCAAGGCCUUGUGCGUUUGGAGCGGCCGAUGGCAGAUUAGGUAGUUGGUGGGAUAAAAGCUUACCAAGCCGACGAUCUGUAGCUGGUCUGAGAGGACGACCAGCCACACUGGGACUGAGACACGGCCCAGACUCCUACGGGAGGCAGCAGUGGGGAAUUUUGGACAAUGGGCGAAAGCCUGAUCCAGCAAUGCCGCGUGCAGGAUGAAGGCCUUCGGGUUGUAAACUGCUUUUGUACGGAACAAAAAGGCUCUGGCUAAUACCUGGGGCACAUGACGGUACCGUAAGAAUAAGCACCGGCUAACUACGUG